UACGUAGGUGGCUAGCGUUGUCCGGAUUUACUGGGCGUAAAGAGCGCGCAGGCGGUCGUUCAAGUCGAGUGUGAAAGCCCCCGGCUCAACUGGGGAGGGUCACUCGAUACUGAUCGACUCGAAGGCAGGAGAGGGAAGCGGAAUUCCCGGUGUAGUGGUGAAAUGCGUAGAUAUCGGGAGGAACACCAGUGGCGAAGGCGACUUCCUGGCCUGUUCUUGACGCUGAGGCGCGAAAGCUAGGGGAGCAAACGGG
rnacentral:rRNA from 1 species